rnacentral:rRNA from 1 species
AACUGCGAAUGGCUCAUUAAAUCAGUUAUCGUUUAUUUGAUAGUACCUUACCACUUGGAUAACCGUGGUAAUUCUAGAGCUAAUACAUGCUAAAAACCCCGACUUCGGAAGGGGUGUGUUUAUUAGAUAAAAAACCAAUGCCCUUCGGGGCUCUUUGGUGAUUCAUGAUAACCUAACGGAUCGCAUGGCCUUGCGCCGGCGACGGUUCAUUCAAAUUUCUGCCCUAUCAACUUUCGAUGGUAAGGUAUUGGCUUACCAUGGUUUCAACGGGUAACGGGGAAUUAGGGUUCGAUUCCGGAGAGGGAGCCUGAGAAACGGCUACCACAUCCAAGGAAGGCAGCAGGCGCGCAAAUUACCCAAUCCCGACACGGGGAGGUAGUGACAAUAAAUACUGAUACAGGGCUCUUUUGGGUCUUGUAAUUGGAAUGAGUACAAUUUAAACCCCUUAACGAGGAACAAUUGGAGGGCAAGUCUGGUGCCAGCAGCCGCGGUAAUUCCAGCUCCAAUAGCGUAUAUUAAAGUUGUUGCAGUUAAAAAGCUCGUAGUUGAAACUUGGGUCUGGCUAGCGGGUCCGCCUCACCGCGUGCACUUGUCCGGCUGGACCUUUCCUUCUGGAGAACCUCAUGCCCUUCACUGGGUGUGUUGGGGAACCAGGACUUUUACUUUGAAAAAAUUAGAGUGUUCAAAGCAGGCCUUUGCUCGAAUACGUUAGCAUGGAAUAAUAGAAUAGGACGUGCGGUCCUAUUUUGUUGGUUUCUAGGAUCGCCGUAAUGAUUAAUAGGGAUAGUCGGGGGCAUCAGUAUUCAAUUGUCAGAGGUGAAAUUCUUGGAUUUAUUGAAGACUAACUACUGCGAAAGCAUUUGCCAAGGAUGUUUUCAUUAAUCAGUGAACGAAAGUUAGGGGAUCGAAGACGAUCAGAUACCGUCGUAGUCUUAACCGUAAACUAUGCCGACUAGGGAUCGGGCGAUGUUUCUAUCUUGACUCGCUCGGCACCUUACGAGAAAUCAAAGUU